GGUUGUGACUCAGUGGUAGAGCGCUUGCCUAACAUGCAUGAGGCACUGGGUUCGAUCCCCGGCACCA
rnacentral:tRNA from 1 species